AGUUUUGCGCAGUGACAGUAUCGUAGCCAAUGAGGUUUAUCUGAGGUGCGAUUAUUGCUCAGAGAGUCUUCAUUUGCCUAGAUGAAUAGAUCAUUCCCUUUCAGUGGCUCCAGGGUAAGACAAGGGAGCUAGAGAAAGGAAAAUGCAACAAAAACUUCUGUGU
rnacentral:snRNA from 1 species